rnacentral:rRNA from 1 species
UACGGGGGGGGCAAGCGUUGUUCGGAAUUACUGGGCGUAAAGGGCUCGUAGGCGGCCAACUAAGUCGGACGUGAAAUCCCCAGGCUCAACCUGGGAACUGCGUCCGAUACUGGAUGGCUUGAAUUCGGGAGAGGGAUGCAGAAUUCCAGGUGUAGCGGUGAAAUGCGUAGAUAUCUGGAGGAAUACCGGUGGCGAAGGCGGCAUCCUGGACCGACAUUGACGCUGAUGAGCGAAAGCCAGGGGAGCGAACGGG